rnacentral:rRNA from 1 species
UACGGGGGGGGCAAGCGUUGUUCGGAAUUACUGGGCGUAAAGAGCUCGUAGGCGGUUUGUCGCGUCUGCCGUGAAAACUGGAGGCUCAACCUCCAGCCUGCGGUGGGUACGGGCAAACUAGAGUGCGGUAGGGGAGAUUGGAAUUCCUGGUGUAGCGGUGGAAUGCGCAGAUAUCAGGAGGAACACCGAUGGCGAAGGCAGAUCUCUGGGCCGUAACUGACGCUGAGGAGCGAAAGCAUGGGGAGCGAACAGG